UGGGGAAUAUUGCACAAUGGGGGAAACCCUGAUGCAGCGACGCCGCGUGAACGAAGAAGGUAUUCGUAUCGUAAAGUUCUGUCCUAUGGGCAGAUAAUGACAGUACCAUAGAAGAAAGCUCCGGCUAAAUACGUGCCAGCAGCCGCGGUAAUACGUAUGGAGCGAGCGUUGUCCGGAAUUAUUGGGCGUAAAGGGUACGCAGGCGGUUUAAUAAGUCGAAUGUUAAAGAUCGGGGCUCAACCCCGCAAAGCAUUGGAAACUGAUAAACUUGAGUAGUGGAGAGGAAAGUGGAAUUCCUAGUGUAGUGGUGAAAUACGUAGAUAUUAGGAGGAAUACCAGUAGCGAAGGCGACUUUCUGGACACAAACUUACGCUGAGGUACGAAAGCGUGGGGAGCAAACAGG
rnacentral:rRNA from 1 species